rnacentral:other from 1 species
GUGCUUCUGCGGUGUUUGUAAGCACAACUUAUAAAACCCUUGAGCCUUACUCAUCGACACCGGGAGAUUAGCUGUCAGGCGCUGUGUGCGUUACCGCCUAGUGUGGGAGGCCUUAUACGUCGACGCGAAUUCCCACUUGAACCCCAGGUUCAAGGAUCGUGAGUCCUGCUACGGCAUUUGCGGUUGCACC